rnacentral:misc_RNA from 1 species
GAUGAAGAACGCAGCGAAAUGCGAUAAGUAAUGUGAAUUGCAGAAUUCAGUGAAUCAUCGAAUCUUUGAACGCACAUUGCGCCCGCUAGUAUUCUGGCGGGCAUGCCUGUUCGAGCGUCAUUUCAACCAUCAAGCCCAGCUUGUGUUGGGGCCCUGCGCCUGCAGGCCCUUAAAACCAGUGGCGGGCUCGCCUACACUCCGAGCGCAGUAAUACAUCUCGUUCUGGUCGUGUGGCGGGCGCUUGCCGUAAAACACCCCCCUUCUCAAGGUUGACCUCGGAUCAGGUAGGAAUACCCGCUGAACUUAAGCAUAUCAAUAAGCGGAGGA